CAAAUGUAGACUUGUACUCAGCACUUAUUGCCUUUGAGAAGCAAGGGAUCCUUUUCGUGCCAACACCCACACCUACUGUGACACAGAAUCUCGGUUUAUACAGUCUCUUUGGAGUAACCUGUCUCUAGCAUUUAGUAGUGUGACUGUCAUCUGAGUACUGAAAUUUGAUGCCAAGCAUGAUCAUGAUUUGCCAGAAGAGCCUCUUUUGGGAGAUGACAAAGAAUUAACAGCAGAAUGAAAUUGAAACAACCAACUGAAUCAAGUCUCAGUUUAAGAAGAUGAUUUUAAAUAUAUCAUAUUUAAAUUUUGAUUUGAGAAACAGACAUAAAUCCAAAAAUAUGAUUAUAUCAAUUGCUUUCAGUUUUUCAAGAUAAAUAGAUUUUGUUGCAAAAUCUAAUAUGUUUAAUUUGGAAUAAAUGUUCUUUUAAAUAUU